GAUCAUAAUCUCUUUGAGAGGCCUGAGAGAGACAACCUGGAUUUCUAAGCUUUUUUCUUUUCCACCUGCAUUUUAAUGAUAGUCUUUUCUACCUUAAGAUGAUCUCAGAUACUUAAAUAUACUUAAAUACUUAGUAUGGGAGAGAUAUAUCAUCUCAAAAGAUUUUAGGACUGGUUAGUGUUUGCUAUGAUCUCACUGAAGUAUGAUGCUACCAAAAUAUAUAAUAAUCCUAUUGUAUUCUCAUUAAAUAACUAGACAAAGAGAUAAAAACUUAUUUUAGUGCUAAAAACCACAUUAGCCAAUGACUAAUUUAGACUACUUGUCAUGUUUCAAUUUCAAAAGGCAUGACCAAAACACGGCAAUAACAAAAUACAUUGCAACCACUCCUCUGGUUAUUUGUGUCGCUCUCCUGAACCACAUCAUGGUGUAUAGCUGACCUAACAAGCUAUCAAGUCCUGACAAGUGUAAAAUCCCUCUCAUCUUAUUCGGGGAAAAUGCCUACUAUAUAUUUACUUUUCAUUAUAGGAAAAUACAUCUUUAUGUAUUACCUCAUCAAAAACAUGCUUUAAUAUAACCUAGAAAAUUGAGUAUGGUUCCUCAGAUACCAAAACAAUUCUUGUAUGGGAAAAUAUUGAAUUAAAUUGGGGUUUUACUAGCAUAUUGAGUAAACACUUCAUCUUUCAUAUGUUAACGCUACCUGGAGACCUUGAGAGGUUGUGCCUUCCAAUUUAUAAAUUAGAAUUCUGCUGUAGUUGUGACUAAGUAUAGAGUUUUUGUUUUAAAUAUUCCUACUCAGGACUUUGAAAGUAUUCUGCCUACCACAAGAACAGUUUUUACAUGUUUAGGUGAGUCAAAACACAAAAGGUUAGACAAUCAUUUCUCUGUUAUCAUGAGAAAAAGUUGGUAACUCCAUAGCUAUUUCUUACAUUAUUGCUAACCAUAGCUGAUGGUAAUUAUUUCCUGAAACUAACAGGUGUUAUAGUUAGAUGUAGUAGAAGAUUAGAAGAGUACCAUACUGUGAAAGAAUAAUCUUGAUGACAUUGGGAAGGACUUCACAGAGGAGUUGGCUCAUGGGCAGGUCCUUAAAGCUAGAAUAGAAUUUUGAUAGGAGGUGAGAAAGUAAGAAGUGUUACCCAAGAGGGUUGAAUUAAUUUAACUCAAUAAAUACUUAGAAAAAACUAUAAUAAAUAGAGUUAACUACUAACCAGCACUGCUAUGUGCUAGGCACUACCCUAAAUGUUUAAUGCAAAUGAUCUAACUCAAUCUAUUUUAAAACCUGAGGUAGACCCUAUUAAUAUUUUCAUUGUAUAGAUGAGGCUCCGAGGCACAGAGAGAUCACUCAGUUAGUGAGUGGUAGAAUCAGGAUUCAAUCCAGAGCAGCUGACUCCAGAACCUACACGGCUAAACACAAGGAUACUGGAGUCGACUGCCUGGCUUCAAAUUCUGACUCCAUCUAGAGCACUUAGGUUACUGCCUGCCACCGGAGCAAAAGAUAGUUUUUCCCCACUUCUGCCAUCAAUUGAGAUUAGAGAAUCCACUCUGUCCUGAGACUGAUAUCCUGACAUGAUGAUGGAAAUAAUCAAGAGCCCAGUAGGGAAAGCUGCACAGGAAGAACAGAGAAAUAUUCCUAAUAUAUUAUCUCUGAGCCAAAGUCAUGGAAAUAGAUAAGAGCACCUUGAGGGAAUGUGGGAUGAGAAGAGAAGAGAAGAGAAGAGAAGAGAAUGUGGUGAGUGAGAAGAAGAUGGCAAAGGAAAUGAGCCAGCAAAAUGGAAUAAGAAAAGAUAAAAACAAUAUAAAAGAAAUAAAAAUGAAGAAAGAGAAAAUGGUAUUUCUGAAAGCAAGAGAGCAUUUGUCUUCCCUUGACCAUAUCACAACUAAAUCGUCCCUCAGUAUGAAAAUAGAGUACCAUUCUUCUAAUUUUGGAAUGAAUAAAUCAUGGGAAUAAAGGCACAGCUAGGGAAUACAGUCAAUGAUACUGCAGUAACGGUGUAUUAGGACAGAUGGUAGCUACCUACACUUGAGGUAAACAUAGCAUAAUGCAUAGAGAGGUAGAGCCACAGUGUUGUAUACCUGCAAAUAAUGUAACAUUGUGUGUCAACUAUAAAAAAUUAAAAACUAAAAAAACUUCCUCCCAAAAACAACAACAAAAAGAAAAUCCACAACCAUGUGAAAAAA